rnacentral:rRNA from 1 species
CAGUCGCCGCGGGAAUACAGAGGGUGCGAGCGUUAAUCGGAUUUACUGGGCGUAAAGCGUGCGUAGGCGGCUUUUUAAGUCGGAUGUGAAAUCCCUGAGCUUAACUUAGGAAUUGCAUUCGAUACUGGGAAGCUAGAGUAUGGGAGAGGAUGGUAGAAUUCCAGGUGUAGCGGUGAAAUGCGUAGAGAUCUGGAGGAAUACCGAUGGCGAAGGCAGCCAUCUGGCCUAAUACUGACGCUGAGGUACGAAAGCAUGGGGAGCAAACAGGAUUAGAUACCCCCGUAUCCCUGUCUCUUAUACA